UAUUAAAUAUCUUUUUUAUUUGUUUGAUUUCAAUAAAAUACAAUAUAUAUAUUUUAAAUAUAUAGUAUGUAUUUAAUAUAUCCAUAGUUAUAUAAAUGGACUAUAUUAUUUAACAUUAUAUUAUUUUAAAUUAAAUGCCAAAUAAAUUGUUAAAAAAAAGGACUUCACACUUAAUAAAUUAUUUAUCUGUAUAAAUUAAGAAUGAUCUUUUAUUAGCUUUGAAGCGCUUUUAUUAAUUUAUUAAUUUUAAUAAAUUCAAAUGUGUAUUUAUGUAUGAAUAGUGCAGCUAAGAAAUGGUCAAUGCAUAUGUCCAAAUAGUUAUUGUGGUAGAACAUAUAAAAAGAAGUUUUCAUUGUAUCGCCAUUGUUGACAAGAGUAUGGUGUUGAACCUCAAUAUCGGUGUUUGUAUUGUAUGAAAACAUUUCAACACAAAGAAUCAUUCAAAUCACACUCUAUAAUAGUUCAUAACUCUUAUAACUUUGAUGAUUUGCAAUUGAAACAACCCGAAAAUACAAUUUAGUAUUCAAUGAUUUAUUUAGUAGUCUUUCAAGCAUUCAAAACACAAUGAUUUCUCCUAUUAUAUAAAAACUUGUUCAACAAAAGCAUACUAAGUUUGUGUGAAGUGGAAAAAAAAAUUUUACAGGAAUUGGUACAUAAGCAUAUGGUAUAAACAGCAAAGAAAAAUCUGAUUAUGAAACAUCCAAUGAUUUUAUCUAUUAUAUCAUAUAAUUUUUUAAAUAUAAAAACAUAUACUAAAACAAAAACAUUUACAAAAUAAGCUCCUAUACAAAUGACAAAAAAACUAAAAUCAAUGUAAUAAAAAUCGAUACAUAAAUAUGGUAUAACCUAAAUCUUAAAGGAAGGAUGUAACUAUAAUGAACCAUCUAUGUAUAGAAUUCACAUUUCUAACCUAUAACUACUCUGAGGUUAAAAAUAAAUCACUUAAAUAUGAAUUAUAUGAAAUUAAUUACAAUGAAAUACAUUGUUACCAAAGGCUGCUAAGAUGAAGAUAUAAGAAAUUAACACUGUAUAGAUCACACAAAUUUGGACUCAAUCUAUUUUCAAAUAUAAAUAAAAUUAAUUUUUUUUUUUAACAAAACUAUACAAUUAUUCCAAUUCAAUUAAGUUACAUUAACUUGAGAAAAAAAAACUGUAACAUAAUAUUAUACAUAAAUCAACUUUGUAAUUGUAAUAUUUCUAAUAUCUAUAUUAUACUAUUGAAUUUAGCUACUGUUAACUCAUGUUUUCUAUAUCAAUAAAAUUAUAAAAUAUAAACGUACUUGUUAACAUUUAUUAAGUAUAAAGAUUGAACUUCAACUAAAAAUUAAAAUUUUUCGUAUCAUUGAACAUAUUCUUAUGAACUCUAACAUCACUUAAUACGUUGACUGCGUACUGACACCAAUUGGCGUCAUGAGGAUCAUUCAGCAAUGCCAUUUGGCGUCCAAUAUAUGUUUAAAUUUAAAUUAAAUGGUUUAUUAUUUACUAAGUAUUGCCGAAUGUUAUGUUAUUAUUAUUUAGUGUUGUUAAACGCAUGUUUUAAAAUAUGUAUUUAUAUGCUGUUUGAAUGUAUGACUAUACAAGAGCAAUUUUUAAUGUUAUUUUUAGAAAAGUGACAUACGCACUUGGUGAAAACUUGAAAUAGACCUACGCAGUUAACGUGUUAAGCAUAUGUCUAACAUUUAAUUUAUUAUAAGAGUUUAUUAUUGGUCAAUGGUUGUAGUUCAUCAAUUAUUUUUAGGUUAUCGACUUAUUGUUCCCUUGCAUUUUACAACUUGAAUAAAGUUAAUUUUAAAUUGUUAAUAAUAAAUGUACUCAUUAUACUAUUUAAUAAAUUUAUUUAUUUAAACUUCUUGUCAUUUUUAAAUGUUAGUUUGGCAUGACCUAAAAAUAUAUUGUGUUCUGUAAAUGUUAUGUAUAAUAUUGAUUGUAAAUGUUUAUUAUUAUGUUGAAAGAUGUUUAUAAUUUAAAUAUAAAUAUAAACUAUUUUAAUAAUUAUUAUUUAAUUAAUGAUUUUAAAUGUUUAUUAAGUCAUGUGUAAAUACACUGUAAAACAUGAUUUUAAACAGUUAUGUAAUAAUUAGGUCUAGGCAUUAUUGAUAUCAUUUAAACAACUUUUUUUUUUAUCUUAUUUUCUUUCUGUGACAUUGCAGUUCUUUUACUACUUGUUGUUUGUCCAAUCAGUGGAAGAUAUAUAUGCCCAAAUACAUGUGGUCGAAGUUAUAAAGAAAAGCACAAUCUUAAUAGACAUUUAAGAAAAGAAUGUGGAGUUGCUCCUCAACAUAAAUGCAUCCAAUGCUCAAAAGCUUUUAAGCAUAAAGCACAUUUAACUAGACACUUUUUAUCUUGUGCUAAUAUUCCUCCAAAUUUUGAAUGUAUAUUUUGUGGAAAGAUGUUCAGAUGUAGAGAUACAUUGAAAAAUCAUAAUUUAUUAGUUCAUAAUGUGUUUUAAUAAUUUACUCAAUAACUAUUAUACUAUUGUUAUUAUUAAAAAUAGUUAAAUCAUGAGCUUUAUAUUAUUAUUAAAAUACAUGUAAUAUACACAAUCUUUAUUAGAAACUUAAUGUAAUAAAUUUUGUAUUAAGUUAUUUUUAUAAUUUAUAAUAAUAUUGAAUUUGAGUUGAUAUAAUUCUGUUAUAUUACUUGAAAUAAAUUAAAAAGGUUAAUUAUUAUUUUAUAAAAUUUAACUAUCUGAGAAUUUUUCAUUUUAAUAAAAAAAUAAAGUUCAAUUAUAUUUGGGCAUAUCCCAGAAAGUGUUUGUCAUUUUUUUUCUGUAUAAAUCUUUUAUUUUUUCAUAAAUUAUAUAAUUAUAUCAUUUUUAUUUGAAUUUUAUAAGUCUUAAUUUCAUUAGUAUCAAUUUUUAUUUUCAAACAUUAAAUUAUUAAAUGACUUUAUCUCAUUAAUUUAACUUCAAUUGUUAUCAUCAUACUUUUGUGUUAAAAUUAUUGUUAUUGCUAAUUAUUAUCCAAAUUAAAAUAAGAACAUUUUACACUUGAAGUAUUUUUUGGUGGACCACUUUAAAAAAGUAAAAAUUAAAAUAAAACAACAAUUGAAAAUAUUUUCCAAUAAAGUAUGUAUUUAGUGCAAUAUACGAACAUAAUAUAAUUGUACAUGUAAUACUUAGUACUUUCAUAUAGAUGAUGUAGAAAUUGAUUACCUAGUAUUUAAAUGUUUUUUACACCCUUAAAAUUGAUAAUAAUUUAACAAUAAUUAUUUUUUUAAUAAUUGACGCUAUAUCACUUGGAAAUUUAUUUUGAAAUAAGUAAUUUUAUUAGAAGCUAGAUAUUUAACCUAUUUAAAUGGUAUAAAUCAAUAAAAUGGUAAAGUGGUUCAAUAGAUGUGAGUAUUUGAUUUAAAAUAUUGAUCCUUAAGUAUUUUUUCUUAUGGAUUUCUUUAAUUAUCUCGACAUCUCUAAAUUAUCUGUCAAUAUUCAUUAAUAUAUUAUAGAAAACUAAGAAAAUAAAAUCAUUAUAAUCAAUUAGGUUUUAAAAAUAUUAUCCUAAUGUAUGUAUUAUUUAAUUAAGUACAUUUUUUUUUUCAUCUAACACAACAGUGUUCAUAUAAUCUCUUAGUUUUACCCUCUAAAAAAACAAGUAUACAUACCUACUACCUGCAUAAGUAGUAGAUAAAAAUAGCAUAUUAUGUAUAUACUACAUAGAAUUAGCUUUAAAAAUGCAAUAUUAUAAACAUGAUUUUUUAAAUUUUAUACCCUGGAAAUACUUGUAAAAUUCAAUUUUGAUAUUAAUAUAAGAAUAAGGCUUAUAAAUUAACUUUGAUAGAUACUUAUUUAUCCAUUUUAAUGUUUUUAUAGUAAAUAUAAAUGGUACAAAAAUAAAUAUAUCAAUGUUUUAUAUUAAAUUUAAAGUUAUAAAGUUAAACAUAUUAUUAAAUAUCUUCUACUAAAUAUAUAAAUAUAUAUAUAAUUAUUAUACAUAUAAUACAGUUUUUUAGUAUUUAAGAAUGUUUACUAAGUAUCAUGUAUUAAUACUGUAUCAAUGUUGAGACCUGAAAUUAAAUUUUUUAUAUAAUAUAGCUAAAUUAUAUAGUAUGAGCCUAAUUUAUGACUAGGUAUGAUAAUUAUUGUUUUUAUUAUUAACUAUUGAGUUUUAUAAACUGCACAAAAUGAUGCUCAGCAUAAUAUGUAAAAGUUUAAACAAUAGUAUAAUUUUCUGAUUGUAAUUGUUGAGCUUCUACUAUAAAUUAUUAUUAUUUUUUUUUAAUUUUAUAACAGAGAUAUCAAGAUUAAAACAAAACAGUAUUUAUGUUUUUAAAAAUGAUUAUUAAAUAAAUCUUUAUUUAAAAAAUUGAGUUUUUAUUUAAUGAAGAUUAAAUUAUUAAAACAGUUAAGUUUACUCAAAAUCUAAUAUAAUUGUCUCAGUUUUCAAUUAAUUAGUUAAUACUUAGCAUUUCAUUUCAAUUCUAUAUUUCUAUAUUUUUAUCAGUUUGAUAUUUUAUUAUAAUGGCUUAACAAUGUUUAUUUUUUUCAGGUUUACUAAGCCGUUGGCCAUGUAUGAACAAUUGUGGUAGAAGCUAUAAGAACAAAGGUGACUUAAUACGCCACAUGAGAAAAGAAUGUGGUAUUGCUCCUCAAUAUCGUUGUGAUACUUGUCGUAAAAUGUUUAAACAUGUACAUCAUUUAAAGUCACAUAUGAUCGUGGUUCAUCAGAAACUAUUUAAAAGCAAUUAAAAUAACUUUUUUUAUAAUACCUAUAUAGUCUUAUAAAAAUAAAAGCUAAUAACAUUUAGUGUUGUGCUUUAGUAUGCUCUCUUUUAAUUAAUAAAAAAAAUUAUUUUUGUUCUCAAUUAACUGUAUAUUUAUUAACAUUAAAAUUACUACAUUGUAACACAAAUUUAUGUAUUAUACUAGAUUAGGAAUUUUGAAUAAAAUUUAUAUAAAAUAACUGAUAUUUGUAUACCAUGUUUUGUGGCCAAAAAACACGAUGUAUGUAUGUAUGUAUAUUUAUAUGAUAUAAAAAUUGCAAACUAGGUAACAUUUUAAAAUACCAAAGAUAUUAUUUAAAUAUACAUGUCAAUCUUCCAACUAAGAAAAUUAUUAAACAACAUUGAUUAAUUUAAUGGUACAUUGUGAACUUAAAAAUUAUUAAUAAUAAAUGUUUUAGAUUCACAAGUUCAGUAGCGAAUUCUCCAGGCAUGCUCAGCAUGCGCCGCAUGCUUAGAAAAUAAAAACAUUAUUAAUCAAAAUAAAAAAAUUAUUUUAUAAUCAAUAAUAUAUAUUACGUAUUUUAAAAGAAAUAAAAUGUGUUACAUUAAUUCAUUUAUUUCUGUUAUACUUAGGUAUCUGUGUUUAUCUUUAUUCUAACAUUUAAUGACAGAGCAUGCGAUAGAUGUGUGCGCAAGCUAUACGACCCUUAUUAUCGCUGUAAAAAAAUCAGUUACUCUGAGACCUCUUCUUCUAGCAACUGCGUAUUAAUCACCCAGGGUAUGCUCAUUCUGUUGCGCUUUAUCAAAGUAAUUUAUAAAAUUUACAUGUACGAGUAAAUGACAAUUUUUUUUAUUUUAGUUAAAAGAGUUAGUCAAGUCUUAAUUACAAUUAUUAAAGUAUCAUUUAAGUAAGUGCUAUUGUAUAUAAAAUAUAUUAAAUUAAAGUCUUAUUUAUAAAUUAAUACAAAUUUUAGUAUUAUUUAUUAAUUAUAAAUUAAAUAGAACUGCACAAGUUUCUUAUCUAAUGUAGUAUAGUUAGUACAUGGUGUACAAUACUUAGAUUAGGUGAUAAAUUAUUAUAUUUUAAAAAUGAUUUCAUUCUUGUGAACUAAAUUAAAUUUAGUAUACUAUGUAAUAAUUAAUAAUGUAUCAUCUAUAAUAUAAAAUUAUAUAAUUAAACACUAUAAUUCUUAAGUUUAAUAUGUUCCAUUAAUUAUAGUGAUUUUUCUUUUAUGCCAACUUUCUUAAAACUUUUUUUUUUUUACUUCAAUAAUUUUAUUUUUGUGAAUUACAGAUUUUUUUUUUAUAUUUAAGUUUAAAAACAAAAUAUCUAAAAUAAAAUAAUUAUGGUACAUGAUUAUUAUUAAUAAUAAAAAACAAUGCAAAUACUUAAAUUGAGAAAUAUUUUGAAAUUCAUUAAGAAAAAUAAAAAUAAGUAUAAAUAUAUUGGCAUAGUUGUAGCAGUGUACAAUAUGGUGUUUUUGUACUUGGUUGAGACAAAUAUUGUCUUUACUAAUAAUAGAUUGUAUAAUGUAUUGAAUAUUAAAUAUAUUAUACAUAAUAUUCAAUGGAAAGAUAAUGUUGAGUAUAUAUCUUUAAGAAUCAGAGGUUAUAAUUUAAUUUAAAAUAACAAAACAAUAUAACAACUAUUUUAAACUUACUGUAUUCAAAAUAAAUACAGAUGUUUUUUGUUACUAGAUUUUAGAUUGUUACAAAUUAUUUAAUUUAUAAAACUUAAUAUAUAUUGUAUACAUAAACAUUGUCUAUUUUUUAAUAAAUAUAUCUUCAUAUACUUAGGUUAUUUUUCAAGGUGGCAGUGCUGGAAUAGAUCUGGACAAAGUUAUAAGUACAAAUAUGAUUUAGUAGACAUAUAAGAAAUAAAAUAGAGUUAAAUACUGAUAAAAUUAUAAAUUUGUUUAAAAGUAUUCAAACGAAAUGACAAUGUAAUAGUUUAUAUGACUAGGAAUAAAGCAAUUACAUAUUUUUUUGAAUUUAACUUAAAAGAAUUACUUUGAAACUUUGAAGACCUGUUUUAAUACUACAAGAACAUCUAAUGUAUGUUUAUCAUGUAUAUAUUUGUUUUCAGAAAUGAAACCGUCCAAGAGUACUCUUAAUUUGUUCUUUGAAAGUUUAAAUUCUAUGCCAUUAAAUUUUAACAAAUAAAAUGUGAUUUAACGAUUUUUCUAUUUUGGUAAUAAGAUAAAUACAAUAGAUUAAUCCAUAAAAAAAAAAAAUGGUUUGUCAGAUAUGAAAUUAGUGUAAUUUAACAGACAAAGAAUUUAAAUGUAAUAUAUGGUGUGCGUGUGUGUGUGUAUAUAUAAUAUAUGGUAAUUAUUUUAUAUUAAAAAACCAUAUAUUGACAUUAUUAUUAACAUCAAUGGUAUAUAGGGUAGGUUUAUUAUUUUGUUACACCUACCUAUAAACAAAACAGCUUAAAAAUAUAUGUAUUUAUUUAUCUUAUUAAUCUAGCAAUGAUUCACCCAAUUUAACAAGCCUGGACAUUUUCUUCAUGUGGUCUGCCAAACUAACAUAUUAUGUAGAAUAAAUUUUCUAACAUAAAUAGUAAUAAUACUUAAGUUGAUAAUAGAGAAAAAUUUAAUUUGGUUAAUUUUCAUUUUGAUAAAUAGGAAUGUG